rnacentral:rRNA from 1 species
AUUGAACGCUGGCGGCAGGCUUAACACAUGCAAGUCGAGCGGAGUGAUGGUGCUUGCACUAUCACUUAGCGGCGGACGGGUGAGUAAUGCUUAGGAAUCUGCCUAUUAGUGGGGGACAACAUCUCGAAAGGGAUGCUAAUACCGCAUACGUCCUACGGGAGAAAGCAGGGGAUCACUUGUGACCUUGCGCUAAUAGAUGAGCCUAAGUCGGAUUAGCUAGUUGGUGGGGUAAAGGCCUACCAAGGCGACGAUCUGUAGCGGGUCUGAGAGGAUGAUCCGCCACACUGGGGCUGAGACACGGCCCAGAAACCUACGGGAGGCAGCAGUGGGGAAUAUUGGACAAUGGGGGGAACCCUGAUCCAGCCAUGCCGCGUGUGUGAAGAAGGCCUUAUGGUUGUAAAGCACUUUAAGCGAGGAGGAGGCUUACCUAGUUAAUACCUGGGAUAAGUGGACGUUACUCGCAGAAUAAGCACCGGCUAACUCUGUGCCAGCAGCCGCGGUAAAAC